GGGCCUAUAGUUUAACGGAUAAAAUAUCCCGCUUCGGACGGGAAGCUCUGGGUUCAAUUCCCAGUAGGCCCA
rnacentral:tRNA from 1 species